rnacentral:rRNA from 1 species
UACGUAGGGGGCAAGCGUUGUCCGGAUUUAUUGGGCGUAAAGAGCGUGUAGGCGGUUUGGUAGGUCCGUUGUGAAAACUCGAGGCUCAACCUCGAGACGCCGAUGGAAACCAUCAGACUAGAGUCCGGAAGAGGAGAGUGGAAUUCCUGGUGUAGCGGUGAAAUGCGCAGAUAUCAGGAGGAACACCGGUGGCGAAGGCGGGUCUCUGGGCCGAUACUGACACUGAGAAGCGAAAGCGUGGGGAGCGAACAGG